rfam:Triticum aestivum genome assembly, contig: Triticum_aestivum_CS42_TGACv1_scaffold_434384_5DL
CUUAUACUCCCUCCGUUCCUAAAUAUAAGUCUUUGUAGAGAUUACACUAUGGACCACAUACGGAGCAAAAUGAGUGAAUCUACACUCUAAAAUGCAUCUACAUACAUCCGUAUGUGGUUCAUAGUAAAAUCUCUACAAAGACUUAUAUUUAGGAACGGAGGGAGUAUUAU